rnacentral:rRNA from 1 species
AGUGAACGCUGGCGGUAGGCCUAACACAUGCAAGUCGAACGGCAGCACAGUAAGAGCUUGCUCUUACGGGUGGCGAGUGGCGGACGGGUGAGGAAUACAUCGGAAUCUACUUUUUCGUGGGGGAUAACGUAGGGAAACUUACGCUAAUACCGCAUACGACCUACGGGUGAAAGCAGGGGAUCUUCGGACCUUGCGCGAUUGAAUGAGCCGAUGUCGGAUUAGCUAGUUGGCGGGGUAAAGGCCCACCAAGGCGACGAUCCGUAGCUGGUCUGAGAGGAUGAUCAGCCACACUGGAACUGAGACACGGUCCAGACUCCUACGGGAGGCAGCAGUGGGGAAUAUUGGACAAUGGGCGCAAGCCUGAUCCAGCCAUACCGCGUGGGUGAAGAAAGCCUUCGGGUUGUAAAGCCCUUUUGUUGGGAAAGAAAAGCAGCAGGUUAAUACCCCGCUGUUCUGACGGUACCCAAAGAAUAAGCACCGGCUAACUUCGU